CUUUGUUUGAGAACAUGUCAACAAGUAGGAGGCCUUGGUUCAUCGUUGUGUUGCUGUUUCUGGUGUUCCUACAGCUCAUCACUGUGCACGCCGGCCCGACAGUCUGCAACUACCUUCGUCGAGAAAACUGUCGGCGUAAAUAACCAUGAACUAAAGUACGAAAAAUGCGUGCAUGCUUGCUUCAUUAGGUUAGGUACAUAAUCGUCAUGUACUAGUUUGUUUGGUUUCCCAAGAAAUGAAAUGAAGUUGGAAAAUGUGUACCGCUUGGAAUGAAGGUUCGGCCAGUUCUCUUGGAGUUACUUCAAGACAUUGAUGCACAGCUUAAAUUUGUAAUCAGUAUUGGCACAUUGGAAAGUUAUUGUCUGCUUCUA